rfam:Sarcophilus harrisii ctg7180002098146, whole genome shotgun sequence.
AUUAAGAUGGCAGAGCCGGUAAUUGCAUAAAGCUUAAGCCUUUACUCCCAGAGGUUCAAACCCUCUUCUUAAUA